GUCGCGCAGCUCCAGCCGGUCGCGCGGGUCGGCCAGCUCGAAGAGGCGGAAGAUGCCCAGGCGCCCAUCGCCGCCGCACAGCUGGCCCGGGUGGCCGAAGCAAAUCUGGUCGCAGUCGGUAGCUGGGGCCAGGCGUCCCCGGUCCAGGUCGCUUUCGGAGCCACAGAAGCAGGCGUAGCCGGCCUCCACGCCCGCCAGCUGGGAGCACAGACUGGAGCCAACUCUACCCAGGCAGCUGGCCGUUCCCAGCCUUGCCCAGCCAGGCCCACUCACUGUGAC